GACAGAGGUGCCGAGCGUUAGGCGGAAUCACUGGGCUUAAAAGCGCGCGUAGGCGGAUGUUUAAGUGUCUUGUGAAAUCCCACGGCUCAACCGUGGAACUGCUGGGCAUACUGGACAUCUCGAGGCACUCAGGGGGCGAGCGGAACAAGUGGUGGAGCGGUGAAAUGCGUAGAUAUCACUUGGAACGCCAAUGGUGAAGACAGCU
rnacentral:rRNA from 1 species